rnacentral:lncRNA from 1 species
GGUGGGGCCACGUGGAGUUUGUUAUAGAGAGUGGAGUGGUGUUCGUUGUCGCGACUUGCUGGAGAGUUCGGGCCAGACGGCUGAAACUCGGUUGGGAUGUUUGGUGGAGCAGAAUAGCUCUCUGUCUCAGCAAUUCUAAGAGAAGCUCAGAUAUUUUCAAGGUUGCUGAUGGGUUAACUGUUGUUGGGUGCCUUAGGCGUUGAUGCUGCAGACGAAGGUCAUCUACUGUAGAGGCCCUGACGAAAAUUUUCU